UACAAAUACCCCACACUCUCACUACUCGUAACUGGUGAGCCUCUCAAUUGAUCAAAUACACUUAACUUCUGUAAUAAAAAAAGGCUUAAAACAAUAGUAAUAAGAGGCAAGUGAGACCAAAUUCUUUUUUCAUAAAUCGUGAAAGAUAUAGUGGACAUGGAGGGGAGAGAAGAAGAUGCGAGGGUGGGUCAAAAUAGGUAUAGAGAGAGGCAACCCAUAGGAACAGCUGCUCAAACCCAAGAUGUCAGGGACUAUACAGAGCCACCUCCAGCACCACUUCUUGAGCCUGGGGAAUUGUCAUUAUGGUCAUUUUACAGGGCAGGCAUUGCCGAAUUUGUUGCCACUUUUUUGUUCCUUUACAUCACAGUUCUAACUUCUAACUGUAAUGGGGGCGGGAAAAUCCCGCACCAAGUGUCCCACGGUUGGAAUUCAGGGCAUUGCUUGGUCUUUUGGUGGGAUGAUUUUUGCUCUUGUCUAUCGCACUGCUGGCAUUUCAGCAGCAGAAACUACUUUUUCAAGGAGCGAGUGUGUGUCGGUAACAAGUGAAGACAAUGCACAGUUCAUUUUCCUCUCAAUCAAUGAGAAGACAGUGAAAUAAAUCUAACUACACCAGGACGAACAUCUGUCCCAAAAACAAUAGAUUUGGAAAACUUUUACUGGGAGGAGGCUGAUAAUGUUAUUUGCUAGGAGGGUGUGAGAAGAUCACAAUGCCAUUAGGUUGCGUGAUUUCUAAUAUGAGGUGAAAAACAAAUCAGAGAAAUAUUCAAAAGAAAGAGGUCUUCCAUGUUGGGAAGACGUUGUUGUGCAAAGGGAUUUCAAACCUUUAUAUGUCUCAGAGGCUAUAUAGAAUGCUUAUAUCCAUUACAUUAUUUUUUAGCAUUUCAUGUGGCGAUUAUAGUAAGAUGCAAAGAACCGAACAAGGAGAUUCAUGGUUCAAUUACCACGCACAUCAGCAGAUCCAUUAUAUUCAUUUUGCUACUUCUCUUGGACAUGAUUCAAGAUCAAUUGAGCUUUUUGUUGAAAUUCACAUGCGAAAUGAGGAUAGUAAAAAAGCAGUGCAGCGACUCAUUGAUAGCCAAGCUAAGAAGUUCAUGGAAAGUUGGAUUUCAACAAUUGUUUUCUUAAGUUAUUAUUUUUUUAAAAAAAUUUGCUGAUUGUUUUUCCUUGGGAAAUAUUAACACCCGAUUAUAAGAGAUACAAAGACGAUCUUUCAAUCCAUUCAGAACUCGAUCCAUAUUUGUAGUUGGAGGCUAGAUCAUUCGGUAGGCCCAAUAUAAAUUAGAUUUAUGGUAUCUCAAACACUACAAGUGAUGAUAUGCGGAUGAGCCAUAGUGUAUCGACCAUUGAUUCCUCGCAAUCAGGUUUGAGCACCUAAUCUCCGGCUGUCCAAGCGAUUGUACGACCUUGCUUAGUGUUGAGAUGACCCAACUUAGAUCCAAGACUACUUAACUUAGGUGAUUCUAUAAGGAGCUAUUGUCAAAUGUCGGUGGUACAUGAGGUCUACCUUGUUGCCCACUUGGUAUUGAUGAAGAUCAGCCUUCGCCUCCUCCUCCUUCUCAUUCAGCUUCUGUCCUAUAAAAAAAUUGUAUUUAAUAAUAUUUUUAAAAUUUAUAAUAAAAACAUGGUUUUUUAUUUUA